GUGAGGAAUUUUCCGCAAUGGGCGAAAGCCUGACGGAGCAAUGCCGCGUGAAGGAUGAAGGCCUAUGGGUUGUAAACUUCUUUUCUCAGAAAAGAAUUAUGACGGUAUCUGAGGAAUAAGCAUCGGCUAACUCUGUGCCAGCAGCCGCGGUAAGACAGAGGAUGCAAGCGUUAUCCGGAAUGAUUGGGCGUAAAGCGUCUGUAGGUUGUUUAAAAAGUAUUCUGUCAAAGAUUAGGGCUUAACCCUAGAUAGGCAGAAGAAACUUUUAAGCUAGAGUUUGGUAGAGGCAGAGGGAAUUCCCGGUGGAGCGGUGAAAUGCGUAGAUAUCGGGAGGAACACCAAAGUCGAAGGCACUCUGCUGGGCCAAUACUAACACUGAGAGACGAAAGCGAGGGGAGCAAAUGGGAUUAGAAACCCCAGUAGUCC
rnacentral:rRNA from 1 species